GUCCAUGCGUGUUCAUUCGCCAGAAUGGGCGCCUGACUCAUAAUCAGGAGGUCGCGGGAUCAAAGCCCGCCCUCGACACCA
rnacentral:tRNA from 1 species